rnacentral:rRNA from 1 species
CGCGUAGGUGGUAGUGUAAGUCUGGGGUGGAAUCCCAGGGCUCAACCCUGGAACUGCCUUGGAAACUGCAUUACUUGAGUCAGUGAGGGGAGGGUAGAAUUCCUGGUGUAGCGGUGAAAUGCGUAGAUAUCAGGAGGAAGGCCUGUGGCGAAGGCGGCCCUCUGCGCUGGACUGACACUGAGGCGCGAAAGCGUGGGGAGCAAACAGGAUUAGAUACCCUGGUAGUCCACGCCCUAAACGGUGGGCACUAGGUGUAGGGCUCGUAAGGGUUCUGUGCCGAAGGGAAACCAUUAAGUGCCCCGCCUGGGGAGUACGGCCGCAAGGUUGAA